UACCGAGGGUGCGAGCGUUCAUCGGAAUUCCUGGGCGUAAAGCGCGCGUAGGCGGCUUUGCAAGUCGGGUGUGAAAUCCCCAGGCUUAACCUGGGAACUGCAUUCGAGACUGCAUUGCUAGAGUAUGGGAGAGGGAAGUGGAAUUUCAGGUGUAGCGGUGAAAUGCGUAGAUAUCUGAAGGAACAUCAGUGGCGAAAGCGACUUCCUGGACCAAUACUGACGCUCAUGUGCGAAAGCGUGGGGAGCAAACAGG
rnacentral:rRNA from 1 species